rnacentral:rRNA from 1 species
AUUGAACGCUGGCGGCAGGCCUAACACAUGCAAGUCGAACGAGUGGCGGACGGGUGAGUAAUGUCUGGGAAACUGCCCGAUGGAGGGGGAUAACUACUGGAAACGGUAGCUAAUACCGCAUACCAUCGGAUGUGCCCAGAUGGGAUUAGCUUGUAGGUGAGGUAACGGCUCACCUAGGCGACGAUCCCUAGCUGGUCUGAGAGGAUGACCAGCAACACGGGAACUGAGACACGGUCGAGCCGCCUACGUGAGGCAGCAGUGGGGAAUAUGUGACAAUGGGCGGAAGCCUUAUGCAGCCAUGCCGCGUGUAUGGAGAAGGCCUUCGGGUUGUAAAGUACUUGCAGCGGGGAGGCUUUACCCGCAGAAGAAGCACCGGCUAACUCCGUGCCAGCAGCCGCGGUAAUAC